rnacentral:rRNA from 1 species
AGAGUUUGAUCCUGGCUCAGGACGAACGCUGGCGGCGUGCUUAACACAUGCAAGUCGAACGGAAAGGCCCUGCUUGCAGGGUACUCGAGUGGCGAACGGGUGAGUAACACGUGGGUGAUCUGCCCCUGACUUUGGGAUAAGCCUGGGAAACUGGGUCUAAUACCGGAUAUGACCUUACAUCGCAUGGUGUUUGGUGGAAAGCUUUUGCGGUUGGGGAUGGGCCCGCGGCCUAUCAGCUUGUUGGUGGGGUAAUGGCCUACCAAGGCGACGACGGGUAGCCGACCUGAGAGGGUGAUCGGCCACACUGGGACUGAGACACGGCCCAGACUCCUACGGGAGGCAGCAGUGGGGAAUAUUGCACAAUGGGCGCAAGCCUGAUGCAGCGACGCCGCGUGAGGGAUGACGGCCUUCGGGUUGUAAACCUCUUUCACCAGGGACGAAGCGCGAGUGACGGUACCUGGAGAAGAAGCACCGGCCAACUACGUGCCAGCAGCCGCGGUAAUACGUAGGGUGCGAGCGUUGUCCGGAAUUACUGGGCGUAAAGAGCUCGUAGGCGGUUUGUCGCGUCGUCUGUGAAAUUCUGCAACUCAAUUGCAGGCGUGCAGGCGAUACGGGCAGACUUGAGUACUACAGGGGAGACUGGAAUUCCUGGUGUAGCGGUGAAAUGCGCAGAUAUCAGGAGGAACACCGGUGGCGAAGGCGGGUCUCUGGGUAGUAACUGACGCUGAGGAGCGAAAGCGUGGGUAGCGAACAGGAUUAGAUACCCUGGUAGUCCACGCCGUAAACGGUGGGUACUAGGUGUGGGGCUCAUUUCACGAGUUCCGUGCCGUAGCUAACGCAUUAAGUACCCCGCCUGGGGAGUACGGCCGCAA